CCUACGGGUGGCUGCAGUGAGGAAUAUUGGUCAAUGGACGAGAGUCUGAACCAGCCAAGUAGCGUGAAGGAUGACUGCCCUAUGGGUUGUAAACUUCUUUUAUAUGGGAAUAAAAUGUUCCACGUGUGGGAUUUUGUAUGUACCAUAUGAAUAAGGAUCGGCUAACGCCGUGCCAGCAGCCGCGGUAAUACGGAGGAGCCGAGCGUUAUCCGGAUUUAUUGGGUUUAAAGGGAGCGUAGGUGGUAUGUUAAGUCAGUUGUGAAAGUUUGCGGCUCAACCGUAAAAUUGCAGUUGAAACUGGCAGUCUUGAGUACAGUAGAGGUGGGCGGAAUUCGUGGUGUAGCGGUGAAAUGCUUAGAUAUCACGAAGAACUCCGAUUGCGAAGGCAGUUCACUGGACUGCAACUGACACUGAGGCGCGAAAGUGUGGGUAUCAAACAGGAUUAGAUACCCUUGUAGUC
rnacentral:rRNA from 1 species